GACGAACGCUGGCGGCGUGCUUAACACAUGCAAGUCGAACGGAAAGGCCCUGCUUUUGUGGGGUGCUCGAGUGGCGAACGGGUGUGUAACACGUGAGUAACCUUCCCUUGACUUUGGGAUAACUUCAGGAAACUGGGGAUAAUACCGGAUAGGAGCUCCUGAAGCAUGGUGGGGGUUGGAAAGUUCCGGAGGAUGGGGAUGGACGGGGGGGUUAUCAGCUUGUUGGUGGGGUAGUGGCCAACCGAGGGAUUGACGGAUAGCCGGCCUGGGAGGUUGGACAGGGACAUUGGUACUGCGGUACGGCCCAGACUCCUACGUUGGGCAACAGUGGGAAGUAUUGCACAAUGGGCCGGCGCCUGAUGCAAAAACCUCGCGUUCGUAAUGACGGCCUUGUUGUUGUAAACCGCAUUCGCCUGAUACGAAGCGUGAGUGACGUUACUGGGUGAAGAAGCACCGGCUAACUACGUG
rnacentral:rRNA from 1 species